rnacentral:rRNA from 1 species
GAUGAACGCUAGCGGCAGGCUUAACACAUGCAAGUCGAGGGGCAGCAUGACACUUCGGUGUUGAUAUGACACUUCGGUGUUGAUGGCGACCGGCGCACGGGUGCGUAACGCGUAUAGAACCUACCCAUAACAGGGGGAUAGCCCAGAGAAAUUUGGAUUAAUACCCCAUGGUGUAUUAGUGAGGCAUCUCAUUUUUAUUAAAGAUUUAUCGGUUGUGGAUGGCUAUGCGUUCUAUUAGUUUGUUGGUGGGGUAACGGCUCACCAAGGCUUCGAUAGAUAGGGGUUCUGAGAGGAAUAUCCCCCACACUGGUACUGAGACACGGACCAGACUCCUACGGGAGGCAGCAGUGGGGAAUCUUCUGCAAUGGGCGCAAGCCUGACAGAGCGGCGUCAUGUGAAGGAAGAAGGCCUGAAAUAGGUUGUAAACUUCUUUUACUGAGUAAUGAAUACUGACAACGCAGUAAAAAAGUAUCGGCUAACUCCGUGCCAGCCGCCGCAGUAACAC